rnacentral:rRNA from 1 species
ACCCCGGGAACACUGCUCAAGUAACACGUGGAUAACCUGCCCUUGGGACCGGCAUAACCCCGGGAAACUGGGGAUAAUUCCGGAUAACGCAUAUUUGCUGGAAUGCUUUAUGCGUCAAAAGGAUUCGUCUGCCCAAGGAUGGGUCUGCGGCCUAUCAGGUAGUAGUGGGUGUAAUGUACCUACUAGCCAGCGACGGGUACGGGUUGUGAGAGCAAGAGCCCGGAGAUGGAUUCUGAGACAUGAAUCCAGGCCCUACGGGGCGCAGCAGGCGCGAAAACUUUACAAUGCGGGAAACCGUGAUAAGGGGACACCGAGUGCCAGCAUCAUAUGCUGGCUGUCCGGAUGUGUAAAAUACAUCCGUUAGCAAGGGCCGGGCAAGACCGGUGCCAGCCGCCGCGGUAACACCGGCGGCCCGAGUGGUGAUCGUGAUUAUUGGGUCUAAAGGGUCCGUAGCCGGUUUGGUCAGUCCUCCGGGAAAUCUGAUAGCUCAACUAUUAGGCUUUCGGGGGAUACUGCCAGACUUGGAACCGGGAGAGGUAAGAGGUACUACAGGGGUAGGAGUGAAAUCUUGUAAUCCCUGUGGGACCACCUGUGGCGAAGGCGUCUUACCAGAACGGGUUCGACGGUGAGGGACGAAAGCUGGGGGCACGAACCGGAUUAGAUACCCGGGUAGUCCCAGCCGUAAACGAUGCUCGCUAGGUGUCAGGCAUGGCGCGACCGUGUCUGGUGCCGCAGGGAAGCCGUGAAGCGAGCCACCUGGAAGUACGCCG